CAGCGCCACGAGUGGGAACUACAAUUAUUGGGCCUAAAGCGUCCGUAGCCGGUUUAAUAAAUUUCUUGUGAAACUGUUUGGCUCAACCUAACAACGUGCAGGAAAGACUGUUAAACUUGGGACUGGGAGGGGUUAGGAGUAUCUUUAGUGUAGCGGUAAAAUGUUAUAAUCCUGAAGAGACUACCUGUGGCGAAAGCGCCUAACCAGAACAGGUCCGGCGGUGAGGGACGAAAGCUAGGGGAGCAAACCGGAUUAGAUACCCGAGUAGUCC
rnacentral:rRNA from 1 species